UGUUAUUAAUGUUUUAUAAUACUGUUUGUUGAAGGAAAUCCUGACUCGCUCUUCACCUUCGUUCGCUAUUUAAAAGUGUUUAUGUAACAAAACUUACAUGGAUAAAAGAUUGAUGUAACAGUAAGGUAUGCGAAAUGUAAAGAACUAAAGCAAGCAUGAUAUUUUUUACACGGUCGUCAUAUAUGAAGUCUUACUGCUAAAACGAAGGUUUGUGAAAUGUAAAGAACUAAAAGAAGCAUAA